GCCCUUGUAGCUCAAUGGAUAGAGUAGCGGUCUUCGGAACCGUUGAUGGGGGUUCGAUUCCCUCCAAGGGCA
rnacentral:tRNA from 1 species